CUAAGACCAUUCAUCAUGUUCACUGUUAUAUUCAUGUGCUUGUGGUUUUCACUAGGUGACUCCAUGGCAGAUUCAGUAGAGCCACUUGACACUCAUAAAGCUGUAGAUGAAGGUGAUAAUCUUACUCUGUCCUGCAGCUACAACAAAUUCACUGGUGUAGUAACCACCCUGCAAUGGUACAGGCAAUAUCCAAAAUCAAAACCUGAGUUCCUUCUUCAAAUUUUACCAAGUGAACGUAAAAGUAACACUGGCCCACCACGUCUGUCUGCUGAAGUUGAUCAAAAUAAUAAAGUGGAUCUGCUCAUCUCCUCUGCUGCUGUAUCAGACUCUGCACUAUACUACUGUGCUCUGCAGCCCACAGUGACAGGAAAUCCACCUGCACUGUACAAAAACCUCGACCCAGUUAUGUUUGACUGAACAACUGAUCA